UACAGAGGUCUCAAGCGUUGUUCGGAUUCAUUGGGCGUAAAGGGUGCGUAGGCGGCGCGGUAAGUCGGGUGUGAAAUCUCGAGGCUUAACUUCGAAACUGCAUUCGAUACUGCCGUGCUAGAGGACUGGAGAGGAGACUGGAAUUUACGGUGUAGCGGUGAAAUGCGUAGAUAUCGUAAGGAAGACCAGUGGCGAAGGCGGGUCUCUGGACAGUUCCUGACGCUGAGGCACGAAGGCCAGGGGAGCAAACGGG
rnacentral:rRNA from 1 species